rnacentral:rRNA from 1 species
UUCUUGGUCAUUUAGAGGAAGUAAAAGUCGUAACAAGGUUUCCGUAGGUGAACCUGCGGAAGGAUCAUUAAAGAAAUUUAAUAAUUUUGAAAAUGGAUUUUUUUGUUUUGGCAAGAGCAUGAGAGCUUUUACUGGGCAAGAAGACAAGAGAUGGAGAGUCCAGCCGGGCCUGCGCUUAAGUGCGCGGUCUUGCUAGGCUUGUAAGUUUCUUUCUUGCUAUUCCAAACGGUGAGAGAUUUCUGUGCUUUUGUUAUAGGACAAUUAAAACCGUUUCAAUACGACACACUGUGGAGUUUUCAUAUCUUUGCAACUUUUUCUUUGGGCAUUCGAGCAAUCGGGGCCCAGAGGUAACAAACACAAACAAUUUUAUCUAUUCAUUAAAUUUUUGUCAAAAACAAGAAUUUUCGUAACUGGAAAUUUUAAAAUAUUAAAAACUUUCAACAACGGAUCUCUUGGUUCUCGCAUCGAUGAAGAACGCAGCGAAAUGCGAUACGUAAUGUGAAUUGCAGAAUUCCGUGAAUCAUCGAAUCUUUGAACGCACAUUGCGCCCCUUGGUAUUCCAGGGGGCAUGCCUGUUUGAGCGUCAUUUCCUUCUCAAACAUUCUGUUUGGUAGUGAGUGAUACUCUUUGGAGUUAACUUGAAAUUGCUGGCCUUUUCAUUGGAUGUUUUUUUCCAAAGAGAGGUUUCUCUGCGUGCUUGAGGUAUAGUGCAAGUACGGUCGUUUUAGGUUUUACCAACUGCGGCUAAUCUUUUUUUAUACUGAGCGUAUUGGAACGUUAUCGAUAAGAAGAGAGCGUCUAGGCGAACAAUGUUCUUAAAGUUUGACCUCAAAUCAGGUAGCAGUACCCGCUGAACUUAAGCAUAUCAAUAAGCGGAGGAA